rnacentral:rRNA from 1 species
GGGUCAGUAGGUUGGUCGUGCCACCGGUACGUACUGGUCUCACUGAUUCCUCCUUCCUGAAGAACCGUAAUGCCAUUAAUUUGGUGUUGCGGGGAAACAAGACUGUUACUUUGAAAAAAUUAGAGUGUUUAAAGCAAGCUAACGCUUGAAUACAUUAGCAUGGAAUAAUGAAAUAGGACGAUCGAUCCUAUUUUGUUGGUUUCUAGGAUUGACGUA